GUGAAUCAUCGAAUCUUUGAAAGAAAAGGGAAAUAUAUGGUAUUCCGGAGAGUAUGCCUGUUUGAGGGUCAGUUUAAAUAAAAAUCGGUGUGGUUGCUGCCUUUCGUGGUGACGCACCGGAUUUGGGUCGUCUUGCCUUCGGUUAAGUGACCUAAAAUUUUGCAUGAUUUUUUUCGAACGUAUUUAAAUGAUUUUACGUACGUUUGCGAUAUAGACUAUGAGGUGUGGUCAUUGUCAUGAUUGGUCGUCAUA
rnacentral:misc_RNA from 1 species